rnacentral:rRNA from 1 species
GACAGAGGGUGCGAACGUUGUUCGGAAUUACUGGGCGUAAAGCGCGUGUAGGCUGCUCGGAAAGUCGGGUGUGAAAGCCCUGGGCUCAACCUAGGAAGUGCACUCGAAACUUCCGAGCUGGAGUGCUGGAGAGGAAGGCGGAAUUCUCGGUGUAGAGGUGAAAUUCGUAGAUAUCGAGAGGAACACCGGUGGCGAAGGCGGCCUUCUGGACAGCGACUGACGCUGAGACGCGAAAGCGUGGGGAGCGAACAGG